AUGGAAGGGGUGGCGGGGCUGAUGAAGGGACUGCGACUGUCAGAGGAAGAGAAGAAGGGGGUGAAGAUUAGACUGUCAGCGAAGGAUAAGGGGAAGAGCGUGGAAUUGCAGGCGGUGGGGAAGGUGGUGUCAGAUCGACUAGCGCACGCCGAUGCCAUCCGGUUGUCGCUGGGUAAGGUGUGGUGCCCCAUUAAGGGCAUCGAUUGCAAAGAAGUGGGGGAGAACCGAUUCAUGUUCACGUUCUACCAAGAUUCGGGGAAGAGGAAGGCGCUUGAUAAUGGGCCCUGGAUGUUCGAUAAAGACCUGGUUGUAGUGGAAGAUUUUGUGCCCAGGAAGAGAAUUGAAGACUAUGAGUUUAGUAAUAUUCCGAUAUGGGUGAGGGUUUAUAAUUUACCUCUUGGGAUGAUGAAUGCGGAGUCAGCAGAG
rnacentral:rRNA from 1 species